rnacentral:rRNA from 1 species
AUACGUAGGUGACAAGCGUUAUCCGGAUUUACUGGGCGUAAAGGGCGUGUAGGCGGUCUUGCAAGUCAGAAGUGAAAUUCCUGAGCUCAACUUGGGCGCUGCUUCUGAAACUGCAGGACUUGAGUGCUGGAUGGGAUAGCGGAAUUCCUAGUGGAGCGGUAAAAUGCGCUGAUAUCGGGAAGAACACCAAUGGCGAAGGCGGCUUGCUAGGCUAAACUGACACUGAGAUGCGAAAGCGUGGGGAGCGAACGGGAUUAGAUACCCCGGUAGUCCACGCCGUAAACGAUGCAGACUAGCUAUCAGAAGUAUCGACCCUUCUUGUAGCGAAGCUAACGCGUUAAGUCUGCCGCCUGGGAAGUACGGUCGCAAGACUAAAACUCAAAUGAAUUGACGG